AAUUACAACGCCAUAUCUUCAAAUCUUCGAACUGUUGGAGAGAACAAAGAGAAACAAAAAAGUAUCGGCGAACACCUUGUAUUCAUACCCGCUUUCGAACGGAUUCCGAGUCGUGUAUAUUUCAUUGAAAUUUGGUCGUAAUAAAUAUUCCUUAUUGUGUUGGAUGGUGAUAAAAAAUAAAGAACGUUGGAAGACAAUUGAAAAUACUGUUUAUAAAAACUUCGACGACUGUUCGAUUUUGCAAAAAAAAUGAAGGGAGAGAAAAGAAAUCUGGUCAGAAUACAUUUUUUCGCAAACGCUUGUCACGUAUGUAGAGCUUACGGUAAAAAUAUCGAAUUAAAAAGAUGUUCGAGUUGCAAAUCAAUUGCUUACUGCAAUCAGGAACAUCAGAAAGCGCAUUGGUUGAAACACAAAGAGUUGUGUAAAAUUCUCAGCGAUAUUAUCAAAGUUAAUGGUACGCUUCACGAACCACUUGGUGAUUUUGAAAAAAAUCCAAAAUCUUGGGUGAAAGCGAAGGAGAAGUUGAUCACUUUGGUAGAAUCAAAAUUGGGCCGUGAGCUCAUGCUUUUCGAAUGUGAAAUGUUGGAAUUUCCAAGAUCCUGUGAAAUUUGUCAUGAAACCGAUUCUAUUAAGUUACGCGAUUGCAAAGAGUGUCCGGAUGCCAGCUUCUGUACAAAACAUCCCAGGGACGACCGACAUUCUGCCAAGUGUAAAACUUCCAAUCUCUGUUUCGCAAUGCAUACAACGACCUUUCCCGUUGGAAUAGGUUUAUUAGCAUGUAUGGCUAUUGGAUCUCAUCAUGAAGAAAAAAUCCCGAAAAAUAUGGAAGAAGCAAUGAAACUGUUUUUAAUUCACUGCCCUGUCAACAAGACUGAUGCGUCGUCGAAACUUUGGAUGAAGUACAUUUCUGGUCAUCUAUCACGGCCUUAUUCUUUUUUGUUUUCAAUGGAAAAACUGUCUCGUCCGAUAUUAACAAAAAUGACAAUACAUGUCAUUGAUUCCAGUCCGAAGGAAGUCUAUCCAAUGAAUGCCUGGCAAACCGUGCUGCAUCACAUUCCAUCUCUCAAAGUGCUUAAAAUUGUCUUUGUUGGUCCGAAACGAUCAUCCGAUCCUGAAGAACUUGAUCUCUGCGUGGACUGCAACAAUCUUAAACGCAAAUUGAUCGUUCAGGAAGUGGGGGACUCGUACUUGGAUUUCAUAACUGCCAAGUCCUUCACAAAACCCGAUUACGUCAUCGGAUUUCAUUUACAAAUGUGCCACGACAUUCGUCAACACGACCACUGGACUUGUACCUUCAAGGAAUUGAAAAAACUUGGCUGUCCUUUUUCUGUGACUUCCUCCUCCACCAUAGAAUUUGAAGGACAAAGAACAGCCAUUGAUAUUUUUUUUGAGAAAGAAGUGAAAUACACAUGGGCAGGCAGAAAUCCAAUGGCUAGCUUAAGUCCUCACAGACACAUUGAGGACAAUGACUUCUGGUUUCCCAAUCAAUGGAUGACCAUUUACAAAAAAUUGGAUUGAAAGAUACUCCUCCAUCAAGUUUUACUCGUUUGUACAACUUCUCAAAAUCUCAUGUACUCUGAGAAUGGAAAGACAACAAAAAAUAAUUGAAGAACAACCCGCUUAAUUUUGCAUAUCUUAAGAAGUCCUCUGGCGCUGGCAUUGCUCAGUUUUUUUCAGGUAUCUUUAUAACGUUAAGUAUGAAAUGACGGAAAGAAAAAGAAGUUGUUUGCUGCUUCAUUGUUAUAAGGUUAAUGUUAACAGCGAAACACUCUGUAUUGAGAAAGUAUUUCUAAUGUAUUUGAAAUUCUUUGUGAUGUUCACUCGAAUACUCUUCUCCUUAAAACGGAGCGACAAAAUAAAAUACGUUCUGUACUCAUUCUCC
rnacentral:misc_RNA from 1 species